UUUUUCAUGAAAACAUGAUUCACUUGUGUUGGGAUGGUGGUGAAGGUGCAUAGGUAGCUUCUUGAAAAUAUGGUCUUGGUGGUUGUGGAGGUUCUUGAUAGUAGUGUGAGGAGGGAGGUUGUGGUUGGUGGAAAGAUGGUGGUUGUGGAGGUUCUUGAUAGUAGUGUGAGGAGGGAGGUGGUGGUUGGUGGAAAGAUGGUGGUUGUGGAGGUUCUUGAUAGUAGUGGGAGGAGGUGGUGGUUGGUGGAAAGAUGGUGGUGUGGGGUAGUGUCUGGUGGCGG
rnacentral:lncRNA from 1 species